UACGUAGGGUGCGAGCGUUGUCCGGAAUUACUGGGCGUAAAGAGCGUGUAGGCGGCCAGGUAGGUCCGUUGUGAAAACUCGAGGCUCAACCUCGAGACGCCGAUGGAAACCAUCUGGCUAGAGUCCGGAAGAGGAGAGUGGAAUUCCCGGUGUAGCGGUGAAAUGCGCAGAUAUCGGGAAGAACACCCGUGGCGAAGGCGGCUCUCUAGUACGGUACUGACGCUGAGACGCGAAAGCGUGGGGAGCGAACAGG
rnacentral:rRNA from 1 species